rnacentral:rRNA from 1 species
AGCAUAUCAAUAAGCGGAGGAAAAGAAACCAACAGGGAUUCCCCUAGUAACGGCGAGUGAAGCGGGAACAGCUCAAAUUUGAAAGCUGGCCUUCUGGUCCGCAUUGUAAUUUGUAGAGGAUGCUUUUGGCGCGGUGCCUUCUGAGUUCCUUGGAACAGGACGCCUUAGAGGGUGAGAGCCCCGUACAGUUGGACACCUAGCCUUUGUGAAGCUCCUUCGACGAGUCGAGUAGUUUGGGAAUGCUGCUCUAAAUGGGAGGUAAAUUUCUUCUAAAGCUAAAUACCGGCCAGAGACCGAUAGCGCACAAGUAGAGUGAUCGAAAGAUGAAAAGCACUUUGAAAAGAGGGUUAAAUAGCACGUGAAAUUGUUGAAAGGGAAGCGCUUAUGACCAGACUUUUUCCUGGCGGAUCAUCCGGCGUUCUCGCCGGUGCACUUCGCCAGGUUUAGGCCAACAUCGAUUUCCGCCGGGGGAUAAAGGCUUCGGGAAUGUGACUCCCUCCGGGGAGUGUUAUAGCCCGUUGCGUAAUACCCUGGUGGGGAUCGAGGUUCGCGCUUCGGCAAGGAUGUUGGCAUAAUGGUCAUCAGUGACCCGUCUUGAAACACGGACCAAGGAGUCGAACAUUUAUGCGAGUGUUUGGGUGUUAAACCCUCACGCGUAAUGAAAGUGAACGGAGGUGAGAGCCUUAGGGUGCAUCAUCGACCGAUCCUGAUGUCUUCGGAUGGAUUUGAGUAAGAGCAUAACUGUUCGGACCCGAAAGAUGGUGAACUAUGCGUGGAUAGGGUGAAGCCAGAGGAAACUCUGGUGGAGGCUCGCAGCGGUUCUGACGUGCAAAUCGAUCGUCAAAUCUGCGCAUGGGGGCGAAAGACUAAUCGA